AUUGCUUCUCAGUCCUUUGGCUAAGAUCAAAUAUAGUAUCUGUUCUUUACAGUUUAAUAUCAGGGUCACAUCUUGAACCCUGGUUUCAUUUUCCAGCUUCA
rnacentral:snRNA from 1 species